AGGUGGUUCGAUUUCCAUACUAAUUUAUUUUUCCAUUUAUGGACAUCUAGGGCAUAAUUUCAUACUGAAAUCACAUCACUUGGCUCUUAUUCAGAACUUUAUUUGCGCUAAAAUAUAUUUAUCUGAAGAAAACAAUAGAUUAAUAGCUAAAUGAGAUCGAAAUUUUUACUAAUUUUUGUCAAUGUAUGAGUAGAAGGCGAUAGUGUCGUACGCUACAACGUUUUAGUAGUGUGCGUUUCCGCUGCUUUCGUGGAAGUAGAUGCUGCGUUGCCAGUUCGCUGAUAGUAAGUUGGCAAGCGCUGUUGCCGCUCUUCGUUUUGCGUUUGAUGCAAAAUUAAAACUAUUAGCUUCAUGAUGACUAGCUUUCGAUGCGUCGGUCAGGUGAUGCCAAACGUAAGAAUUUCCUAAGAAUUUAGGGAAAAAUUCCCUAAAAGUUUGAAAUCAUGAACUAUAACGCAGUAAUAUACUAAGCCUAUUAUUAUGAUAAAUAUACUUGCUUUUAGUAGCAUAAAGUAGUUGUAAAACUUUUUGAUCGAUUUUACCGAAACCAAAUUUUACGUCAACUUAUAUACUUUUAUUACUACUAUUUCAUUAAUAUAGCCUUAAAAUCAUACUGAGGUAUUUAUAAUGAAUCUUAGUUAUUAAAAUAAUUAAAAUAAAAAUUAAAAAAAAAGCUCGGGGUGUAUGGCGCACCGCGCAUUAUUCAAUAUCUAGGCAAAAACUAUUUAGAGAUGGUAACCCUCUUAUUGUGAAUUGCGCGACGCGGUGGUACCUCCUCUAGUGUUUGUGAUAAACAAGUGAUAAAGUUUGAGUAUUUUUAUUGUAUUGUUGCUUGUUCAUACAACAAAAAUAAAUUAUGGAGCCACGAACUUCACGCAAAGAUUAUCUGAAUCACCAUUACUCUGGCCCCCGGAAAAGUCGCAAACGAGUUCUUGGACAAAUGAAAAGAUAUCACGGAGAAAGCAAAAGGUAAGUACACGAACCUAAUAAUAAUUGCACUUCAAAUACUUAUUCGAAAUGGAAUUAUUAUUAGGUAUUUACAAUGCUUACAUCAUAAAUAUUUUGCUAUAAUUGAUAUCUAGUUAUCAGCUAUAAUUUUUUGAAAACAUAACCUCUUAUUUGCAGUCGUAGUGAGUGUAGCAAGUUUAGUCCUAAGUGGAACAUGAAUAAUCAAAUAAUAGUAAUUGAUCCAUGAUACAUAGGUACCUAUAUAUAAAUAAUUGGUUGUUUGUACUAGUUGAUUACAAAUCAUUGUUUUUGAAUAUAUCCUUAUAUUCUAAACACAUCUGUUUAUUGAUUUCAGGGAUUAUAGAAGAAGAAAAAUCAAUUUUGGAAAUAAAAUGUUUUCCCUCAUUGGCUCGCAACAGUCAAGAUAUGUUUUCUGCUGCAAAAGAUCGUAAAAAUUUUCCUCUCUACAUUGAUAGUACUGGGAGAUUACAAAUGAAUAAAAAACACUAUUUCUAUUAUCAGAUCCAGGGCCAGCUGCGGGUUACAAAAAUGAACAAAUGCUAUUUUGUUGGAUAUAUUUCUCCAACUUACGACAUCACUAUUUUAGAAAUAGAACGUGAUGAAGUUUUUAUCGGUAACAUGAUACCAAAACUAGUUAAUUUUUUUAAAAAUUGUGUAUUGCCUGAAGUAGUACUUCGGAGAGUCUGCAAUAAUCAAACUUGCUUAGACAUUUCAUUGUGUAAAUAAAAUCAAUUUUGCUCAAUUUUACUGUCCCAUUCGGUGUCGAGACCCUUGGUCCCUGGGGUCCUAGCGCUUCAAGCCUUUUUAGGGAAAUAUGAAAAAGGUUAGUCGACAUCACAGGAGACCGAAGAGCUGGCAGCUACCUCGGACAAAGAAAAUUAGUCUAGCCAUCCAAAGGGGGAACAACGUCAGUAUCUUUGGAACCUUGCCUAAAGGGACUUCUUUUAAUAAUUUAUUUUAGUUAUUAUAUUAUAUUUUUUAAGGUUUUUAGUUUUAGGUUCAUUGUUUUAAUAAUUUAGAUUUUAGAUGUUCAGAAUAAAGUAUGUAUUAUUUCUAAUAAAUAAAAUUUGAAAAAUGUCUCUACUUUUAAUAAUCCUAUAAUCAUAUAAAAAUAUGUAAUAAAUACGAUAGUGUGUUUGUUUGUUGGUUUGUCAUUCAAUCACGUCACAACUGCAUUUUGCAUGCUUUCGAGGACUUGUAUGGCUCUUCUCUAUCUAAUA